rnacentral:tRNA from 1 species
AGGAUAAUAGUUAAAAUAUAACAUUUAAUUUGCACUUAAAAAUUACUAAAAUUAGUUUAUCUUA